AGCUCCCGAGCACGCCGGAGGCCUGGCCUGUGGAUGAGAUUGUUCCUUAUUUCCCCAGCUUCAGCACCACAGAAGAGACCAGAGUCUACCUUGCCAGCUCCUCUAGCACCGACCACGUGCCAAUUCAUGUCCUGAAUGCUCACUUCACUUCUUCACCUUGCUUCACUUCACUUACUGCACGGGAACAGAAAAGCCUAGAGAGGAUGGAUUACCUGUGCGGUUGCCUCCCUCUGCAGAGUGGGCGUGUCUCAGGAGCUUCUCUUCUUCUCCAGCCCAGUGCGGCCUCGUGUCAUCCAUAGGACCCACCGGCAGAGGGCAGGGCCUGCGAGUGGGGCCAGCCUCCUGGUGACUCUCGCCUCCUCUUUUCCAGCGGACGCUACCAGAGGACGAAGGUCUGACUCUGGCCAACGGCCCAGAAUUUCUGGCCCAGUUUUGCCUGAGGAAGCCAACUGUGCAGGAGGUCAGGAUCCCGGUAGGGUGAGAGUGGGAAAGUUAACAUUCCCAAGAGACUCCAAGCAACAGGAUUUCCUGACCUGGGACUAUUACCUUUCUCACAUUACAUGGCCAGAUUUACUUCCUGCUAUUAUUAAAAGUACGAAAAAGAUGAAGAUAUGUGUUUAAUGGAAACAAGGGCAAGAGUUUGCCUGACUGGACUUUGAGGAGGCUGUAGGAUCAUGGCGCUAACGGCAUUUGGAGGGCUGGGAAGGGACUCUAGCCCUGGCUUUACCUGCCUUUGUCAUCAGCUGGAGCAAGCAACUCCGCAACCUCGGAGCCUCAGUUUCCUUUUCUGUAAAAGGCGGGGAGGGUGGGUGGUAAGUGCAAUGCUGAAUCAGAACUCAUAGAGCUGCUGGGUGGACAUGUGAAGUAAAAGAGGAGACAGCUUUUGCUCCUGAAGGAUGCCAUUUGCGUUUUCCUCAUCAGUUUGAUCUCCUCCAAUCAUCCAGCACCUCCAUCUGACCUUCUCAGCUGAGAGGUCCUCAGUGUUUCUGUGGCCUCCAGGAGAAAGGUCCCCCUCCCCGGCUGAGGCCAGGCUGAUGGCAGGCUGCACGGCCAGCCUUCCACAGUCACCUGAAGGAUACAGAAAAGGAAGAGCUGGAGGCUUCUAGCAAGCUGCCGAACUGUGUCCUCCAGCUGCGCCCAGCCCCCUGGAGGUAGCGCCGGAGCACGUGGUGGUGGCUAUGUAGGAAGGCCCCUUUCGAGCCGCCCUAUACUGUCUUUGGGAUCUGCUUUUUACUGCCACAGCCUAUGUGCUCCUGAUUCUUCUCUCAAUCCCUGGAUGGAAACCGGCCUCUGAUACUUGGCUCUGCUUCCUUGGAGGAGCUACUUAACCAUUCAGUCCUCUCUGCAGUUAGCUAUUAAGGUUGUCCUGCGAACUGAAGCAGAGAGUCCCCGCAAAGGGUGCAGAGUAGGGCACCCACAGAGGAGCCUCUAAAGCACUUUCCAUGAGGUGGAUGGCUUCUCCUCCCCAAGGGACCCAGGAAGGAAAGGAGAGCUGGAAAGCCCCAAGAAGAUGCUAGUAUCAUCAUCACCCCCGUUUAACAGAUGGGAAAAUGGACUUAGAAGGAUUAACCAAUUGUCGCAUGGCUACUUCUGCCUCCCCAGCAGAGAGGGACCUUCCCAGAGAAGAUGUCUUGCGCCUCACCUGAUCUUGUUCUGAGAGUAGGAGACUGGAAGAGAAGCGUUCAACUCCCCAAACACAGCUGGGUUUGUUUCGUUUAAUCUCCCAGCCUGUUUUUCUGCUGUCCUCCUGAAGAAUGUUUAAUCUCACAGUUAAAACCACCAAAAGCGACUUUUUUCCCCCUCAACUGCUCAGUAACACAUGACCGUGCAAAUUCGUUUGGCCCCAGCGCCACAAGUCAUAAAAGGCAUCUAGUGGGCGGCAUGAGUCAAUCAGGCCUUUGGACGGUGACGUAACCACAGCUUGUCAGUUUCCCCAUCCAGGCAGCCCCAAUCCCCCAGUGCAGACAUCUGGAGCCAGGGAUUGACAAGUGGAUUCCAGGAUUGGGCCCUGCCUCCCGCCCUGUUCAGUUCCAGCCCAGCCACGGCCGCCGCCAACGAGGACACGCACUGUCUUUCUGCACAUUCCCACGUACACACACCCCCGCAGCCCCCUCUCCACUCAUUCCUGCAUUUCCGGCAAUGUGAAUUCUGACAGCUCGGGCAGUGUCAGCCUCUCCGGUGCAUUCCUCACCACACCACCUCACUGCUCCCGAGCCUGCUGACAGCACUCCCCGCCAUACCUACCAAGCCGAAGGUGCAAGGAACCUCUUGAUCCCCACUGUGUCUUUGUCCCAGGGCCACAGCAAAAUAGCACCCCCCUCCCCCACACACCCUCUAGCCUAAUUUAUUAGACUUUUAAACACAUUUAUUUACUGUGAUAUCUACACCACACCAAACAUCUGGAGGGAAACCGGGAGACAAUCCACCAGGAAUUUAAAUGUUUGUUCUGCAAUGUAACUUUGAAAACCGAACCAGGAAAACUUGACAUCUUUAGCCAAUUGCUUGGUGGUGAGUAGACUUAAGCCAAUAUAUAAUCUGUAAAGGUUGUCCCUCUUUGCCCUCUCUCUAUCCAUGAAACGCAUUCACCAAACAGCCCAGAAAUAUUUCUUUCUUCUCCUCUCAGAGGUAUGUGAAACCAACCUGAAUCAACAACAUAGUUGUUCAACCAGCCUCACUGAGAACGAAGGCAUUUCAGAGCUGGAAAGACGCUAGGGUCUGGGGUCUUAUCUUCCACAUUUAUCUGCCUUAUUAUAAUCCAUCCAGUCAUCCUCUUUGCCCUUGCCAGAUCUCAUCGCUUACACUACCACUACCGAAGGAGCAUAACGUCUGUGACUUUUCUUUUUUUUUUUUUUUUUUUUUGAGAUGGAGUCUUGCUCGGUAACCGGGCUGAAGUGCAGUGGCAGGAUCUUGGCUUACUGCAACCUCUGCUUCCUGGGUUCAAGUGAUUCUCCUGCCUCAGCCUUCUGAGUAGCUGGGACUCCAGGCAUGCGCCACCACGCCCAGUUAAUUUUUGUAUUUUUAGUAGAGAUGGGGUUUCACUAUGUUGGCCAGGUUGGUCUCGAACUCCUGACCUCGUGAUCCAUCUGCCUCGGCCUCCCAAAGUGCUGGGAUGACAGGUGUGAGCCACCGCACCCGGCCACGUCUGUGACUUUUCUAAAGCUUUAAGAUGAUGUCACCCAUAGGCAGAAAGGCCCACUCAUUUCGUGCAUCUGCAGUCACUCUUCUGACGAGGUGCGGCUCUCUUUUGUUCUAUCAAAGAGAAAGCCAGUCUAAAUUAAUGGGAAACUAGAGAAUUAGGUCAUUUUUCAAGAUGAAAUUGCUGGUAGCUUAAGGAAUCAGCUACUUGAAUCCCAUGCUAAAAAAGUGUAACUCCUGAGGAGUGAGCUCUUCUUUCUUCCUUCCAUAAUGUCAGGCACUAAGGGAGGUUCAGAAACACAGAGCAGCAUCUACUCCUUUCUCAACGAGCGUGGGGUCCAGUGCAGUUGGCCCUCAUUUAACAAAUAAUUACACCCAUGCGUGAAAGGUCCAGUGGGGAAACAGUGCGGGGAGCCUCAGGCAGAGCUGAUUCAGGCCUGGGGAGGCACGGGAGCCACAUGUUCAGGGUCCACAGGCCCAGCGGAGUGAUACGGAAGUUUCCAAGAUGGUAAGCCUCUCUCCUGGCCCAUGCUCACCAACGGGACCCCAUUCCUAACCAGGCUUUCCCUCUCUCUCUUUUAAGUGUUCCAGGAAUGUUCCUACCCCUGCGUCUUUGCUGAAGCCCCUCUUGCCUGGGAUGCCCUCUGUCCUCUCUUUCUGCCCACACACAUCCUGCCAGUCCUUCAGACAGGGCCAGCCUCACGGGCAUAGGACCUGAGCAGUUUCACAGGGCCCUAUGCACAGAAGGAUCCCAAGCUCGGUUGAUUGCUCCGAUCUUGCCAUCUUGAAACUCUUUGAUAAUUUUAUCUUUUAUCUUGUGUUUUGGGAGUGAAAUCCAAUGGGAUAUUGGGGCCUGCAAAGGAGAAGAGGAGAUCCGCACAAACCCGUUCCUGGCUGCUGCAUUCACCUCCAGCGUUUGUGAUGCCCCAGAGCACAGAACUCCAGGGAGCCCACGAUGCAGGAGAGUUCAGCGACAUUCACUGAGUACAAGAGAAGUGAGUUACUCCUGCAGCUGAGCACGGGGGGCGCUGGCAACUGCGAAAGGUCUCGCUUUCCAUUCCAACCAGAACUUGCUCCUAGCGCAGACAGAAGGCCGUGGCAUUCUGAGAAACACACAUGAUGAAGGAGCCCUGUCAUAUCCUCUCUUCCUUGCAUCGCUUCCCCGUGUGAGCAACCACUUGUGCUGGAAAUGAUGACAAGGAAGGACCGGGAAAGACAGGGCCACCCGCAGUUCCUUUUCCUUGACGUCUUUCCUUCCUCAUCAGCGAGCUGAGGUGGAGAGCGUUGGUAGAAUGUGUGCAUAAUAAGAAGUGAAAUAAAAACAGUCGAGUUAGUAUUCUACUGUUUCCACUGUUCUGGUGAGAACAAAACACAUAUGCUGUAUAUGCUUUGAAAUACAAAGUGUGUAAUUUUAGUGAUUCUGCAUAGGAGUUAAAUGUUUUUAUAUUUGCAUUUAAAACUGCCAUUGUAUACUAUAAAGAUAAAGAGUAAAAUGUAUUCUAAUAGUUUAACUUUACUAAUAAUUUAGUUUUUACUUUUAUUUACCUAGAGUAACAUUAAAUAGCAAACAAACAAAACAAACAUCACAAGUUGAGAGAGAAACCACAAAAGAAAGAAAAAAGCUUUAUAUGUUAGUACCUUGAGAGGCACUUUUUCCUGCUUUUUGAGUAGGGAUUCAUGUUUUCCCGUUGCACUGGGCCUCACAAAUAAUGU
rnacentral:lncRNA from 1 species